GAUGAACGCUGGCGGCGUGCCUAAUACAUGCAAGUAGAACGCUGAAGGAGUAGCUUGCUCCUCUGGCUGAUUUGCGAACGGGUGAGUAACGCGUAGGUAACCUGCCUUGCAGCGGGGGAUAACUAUUGGAAACGAUAGCUAAUACCGCAUGACAUCAGUUAUUGCAUGAUAACUGUUUAAAAGGGGCAACUGCUCCACUACCAGAUGCACCUGCGUUGUAUUAGCUAGUUGGUGAGGUAACCGCUCACCAACGCGACGAUACAUAGCCGGCCUGAGAAGGGGAUCCGCCACACUGGGACUGAGACACGGCCCAGAAUCCUACGGGGGGGAACCGUAGGGAAACUUUGGCAAAGGGCGGAAAUCUGAACGAGGAACGCCGCGUGGGUGAAGAAGGGUUUCCGGUCGUAAAACUCUGUUUCUAGGGAAGAAAGAGUGUGAGAGUGGAAAGUUCACAUUGUGACGGUAUCUAACCAGAAAGAGACGGCUAACUACGUG
rnacentral:rRNA from 1 species